rnacentral:rRNA from 1 species
UCGGGAAUUUUGGGCAAUGGGCGAAAGCCUGAUCCAGCCAUGCCGCGUGGAUGAUGAAGGCCUUAGGGUUGUAAAAUCCUUUCGUUGGGGACGAUAAUGACGGUACCCAAAGAAGAAGCUCCGGCUAACUUCGUGCCAGCAGCCGCGGUAAUACGAAGGGGGCUAGCGUUGUUCGGAUUUACUGGGCGUAAAGCGCGUGUAGGCGGACUUGUAAGUUGGGGGUGAAAUCCCGAGGCUCAACCUCGGAACUGCCUCCAAAACUACAAAUCUGGACCUAAGUAGAGGCAAGUGGAAUUGCGAGUGUAGAGGUGAAAUUCGUAGAUAUUCGCAGGAACACCAGUGGCGAAGGCGACUUGCUGGACUUAUGGUGACGCUGAGACGCGAAAGCGUGGGGAGCAAACAGGAUUAGAUACCCCCGUAGUCCCUGAGCGGGCUGGCAAGGCGCAU